rnacentral:rRNA from 1 species
CGGACGGGUGAGUAACGCGUGGAGAACCUGCCGUAUACUGGGGGAUAACACUUAGAAAUAGGUGCUAAUACCGCAUAAGCGCACAGCUUCGCAUGAAGCAGUGUGAAAAACUCCGGUGGUAUACGAUGGAUCCGCGUCUGAUUAGCUUGUUGGCGGGGUAAAGGCCCACCAAGGCGACGAUCAGUAGCCGGCCUGAGGGGUGAACGGCCACAUUGGGACUGAGACACGGCCCAAACUCCUACGGAAGGCAGCAG